UGGAAAGUUGGGAGAUUGGGG
rnacentral:miRNA from 2 species